GCAGAAAUCCAGAAACCUCUACAGUACUCCUUUUCCCUGGACCCACAAGCCUCUCUUCUUUAUAUAGAACAAUGAUUUUUCUCCUUGCUAUUUGCAGGUGCUCCUGACCCAACAGCAGGUGCAAGCAUAGAUGAUGAAAACUGCUGGCAUUUGGAUGAGGAACAGGUCCAAGAACAGGUUAAACUCUUCCUCUCCCAUGGUGGAUACCAAGGAUCAGGAAAGCAGCUCAAUUUACUUUUUUCCAAGGUGCGAGAGAUGCUAAAGAUGAGAGAUUCAAAUGGAGCUCGCAUGUUGAUGUUGAUAACAGAACAGUUCAUGGCUGACCCUCGUCUGUCACACUGGAGACAACAAGGAAAUGCAAUGACUGACAAGUAUAGGCAGCUCUGGGAUGAACUGGGUAAAUGUAUAGACUUUAAAAUCAUUUAGGUGUUCAUUUGUAUAAUGAAUAAAUAAUUACAUAUUUGGGAUGGAAGGAAACUUUAUUGUGGUACUAGGUAAAGCAAGACAGAGUUUUCUGCAGUUUUGCUUCUUCAGUUACGGUUGGGUGAAAUUGAAUUUGUGAUCUACUACAUGAGACAGCAGGAGCGGAAGCAUGGUAUGAAACAAGUGUGAUUACAACAGGUUGUAAGUACCUGAGGAUCUAAAAAGAAUAAAGCAAAAAGUAGAAAUGUAGCUAUACAACUGAGGGUAAGUAUAUAAGCCACUAGCACAAACUGAAAAGAUUAAGUGAGAAAUCGAUUCACGACUAGAGAAAAAUAGAAGGCAAAAAGAGAAAAAUCAUUAGGAGUGUGAGGAGAUAGCAACAAAGGAGAGCAGAAGUCCAUUACUGAGCAGGAAAGGAGAUCAAUUAAGAGUGGGCUAUAACAAUUAACACUGCUCUACAGGAAAGGUCAGUUGUGACUAGAUAUAUGACUUGUACAAUGGAGAGAGGAACACAGACUGAAAUGGGAAAGGAAUAUUUAAACUGGUAAAGUCUGAAGACACUUGCUCUAAAGUGUUUGAGAAACUUGCUGACACAGUUUUGAACUGCUGCUUCAUGAGUUCUCAAAAUCUGUAGGAAUUUGUGGUAGGGAGAGGAAAUUUAAAACAACUUGAAAGUAGAUAUCACCAGUAUUUUAAGGUAGGUAGGUGAGUGGAAAGAAUAAUAUUAAGUAACCACCAGCAUGCUUUCCUAGAUGUAAGGUAUUGGAACAAAUUACUAACCAGUAAGUAUGUAAGCAUAUAGAAGAUAAAAGUGAUAAAAGAAAACCUUAAAUAUUUAAAAUACAAUGGUAAUUCUAAUUUGUUUCUCUAAAAAAUAAUUCACUGAGUGUAUGAGUAAAGGAAUUAAUGCAUAUAUCUUAUCUAUAGUAAGGUUUUGGAUGCUGUCUUGGAGGCUUUCUCAAAGCAAGUUGAAGACACAGCCAAAUGGAAUUGCUUUGUGAUUCAUGAAACUUGGAGUAGUUACCUGUGCUCUCACUCAAUCUGGAAAGACACUUCAAGUCUAGACUUAAAGGAAAGUCUUGAGACAUGUUCUGGUAAAACCUCCCAACCCCACCACCACCACCCCAAAAAACCCCAACCAAGACCCAGCAAAACAACAACACAAAACUUACUGAUGACACCCCUUGGGACAAUAUGUAGACACCACAGAGAACAAAGCCAAAACAAGUAAUGCUCUUGGUACACUUUAAAGAUCCAAAACCAAGUUAAAUGACAUUAAAUCCAAGCAAGAAUAGCAUGUUUCAUUUAGAGAGGAAAAGUCAAAAGCAAAAUUUAUGUUUUCUACUGUUAAAGGUUAAAGAUAGCCAUGACUGAUAGCAUGUUGUCUGGUAGGCUUGACUGGAUAUGACCCGGUUAGCAUAAAUUAUGUUCAUUCUAAAUGAAGCAUUAGGCUAAUAAAGCACUGUCUGUCUAUAGUUG